UACGUAGGGUCCGAGCGUUGUCCGGAAUUAUUGGGCGUAAAGGGCUCGUAGGCGGUUUGUCGCGUCGGGAGUGAAAACACGGGGCUUAACCCCGUGCCUGCUUCCGAUACGGGCAGACUAGAGGUAUGCAGGGGGAGAACGGAAUUCCUGGUGUAGCGGUGAAAUGCGCAGAUAUCAGGAGGAACACCGGUGGCGAAGGCGGUUCUCUGGGCAUUACCUGACGCUCAUGCACGAAAGCGUGGGGAGCAAACAGG
rnacentral:rRNA from 1 species